UGAGGGAAAGGCGAAAAGAACCCCGGCGAGGGGAGUGAAAAAGAACCUGAAACCGUGUACGUACAAGCAGUGGGAGCCCCACCACCAAAGCAUUCUCUGGUGUUGAAGGCCCUGCAAAGCAGCAUCGCGGUGGCGGAGCGUCGUUUGCGACGCCCAACACACAAAACAAGCGGUGAGUGCUUUGGGGUGGGGUGACUGCGUACCUUUUGUAUAAUGGGUCAGCGACUUAUAUUCUGUAGCAAGGUUAACCGUAUAGGGGAGCCGUAGGGAAACCGAGUCUUAACCGGGCGUUAAGUUGCAGGGUAUAGACCCGAAACCCGGUGAUCUAGCCAUGGGCAGGUUGAAGGUUGGGUAACACUAAC
rnacentral:rRNA from 1 species